GGGUUGUGAGGUUAAGCGACUAAGCGUACACGGUGGAUGCCCUGGCAGUCAGAGGCGAUGAAGGACGUGCUAAUCUGCGAUAAGCGUCGGUAAGGUGAUAUGAACCGUUAUAACCGGCGAUUUCCGAAUGGGGAAACCCAGUGUGUUUCGACACACUAUCAUUAACUGAAUCCAUAGGUUAAUGAGGCGAACCGGGGGAACUGAAACAUCUAAGUACCCCGAGGAAAAGAAAUCAACCGAGAUUCCCCCAGUAGCGGCGAGCGAACGGGGAGGAGCCCAGAGCCUGAAUCAGUGUGUGUGUUAGUGGAAGCGUCUGGAAAGGCGCGCGAUACAGGGUGACAGCCCCGUACACAAAAAUGCACAUGCUGUGAGCUCGAUGAGUAGGGCGGGACACGUGGUAUCCUGUCUGAAUAUGGGGGGACCAUCCUCCAAGGCUAAAUACUCCUGACUGACCGAUAGUGAACCAGUACCGUGAGGGAAAGGCGAAAAGAACCCCGGCGAGGGGAGUGAAAAAGAACCUGAAACCGUGUACGUACAAGCAGUGGGAGCACGCUUAGGCGUGUGACUGCGUACCUUUUGUAUAAUGGGUCAGCGACUUAUAUUCUGUAGCAAGGUUAACCGAAUAGGGGAGCCGAAGGGAAACCGAGUCUUAACUGGGCGUUAAGUUGCAGGGUAUAGACCCGAAACCCGGUGAUCUAGCCAUGGGCAGGUUGAAGGUUGGGUAACACUAACUGGAGGACCGAACCGACUAAUGUUGAAAAAUUAGCGGAUGACUUGUGGCUGGGGGUGAAAGGCCAAUCAAACCGGGAGAUAGCUGGUUCUCCCCGAAAGCUAUUUAGGUAGCGCCUCGUGAAUUCAUCUCCGGGGGUAGAGCACUGUUUCGGCAAGGGGGUCAUCCCGACUUACCAACCCGAUGCAAACUGCGAAUACCGGAGAAUGUUAUCACGGGAGACACACGGCGGGUGCUAACGUCCGUCGUGAAGAGGGAAACAACCCAGACCGCCAGCUAAGGUCCCAAAGUCAUGGUUAAGUGGGAAACGAUGUGGGAAGGCCCAGACAGCCAGGAUGUUGGCUUAGAAGCAGCCAUCAUUUAAAGAAAGCGUAAUAGCUCACUGGUCGAGUCGGCCUGCGCGGAAGAUGUAACGGGGCUAAACCAUGCACCGAAGCUGCGGCAGCGACGCUUAUGCGUUGUUGGGUAGGGGAGCGUUCUGUAAGCCUGUGAAGGUGUGCUGUGAGGCAUGCUGGAGGUAUCAGAAGUGCGAAUGCUGACAUAAGUAACGAUAAAGCGGGUGAAAAGCCCGCUCGCCGGAAGACCAAGGGUUCCUGUCCAACGUUAAUCGGGGCAGGGUGAGUCGACCCCUAAGGCGAGGCCGAAAGGCGUAGUCGAUGGGAAACAGGUUAAUAUUCCUGUACUUGGUGUUACUGCGAAGGGGGGACGGAGAAGGCUAUGUUGGCCGGGCGACGGUUGUCCCGGUUUAAGCGUGUAGGCUGGUUUUCCAGGCAAAUCCGGAAAAUCAAGGCUGAGGCGUGAUGACGAGGCACUACGGUGCUGAAGCAACAAAUGCCCUGCUUCCAGGAAAAGCCUCUAAGCAUCAGGUAACAUCAAAUCGUACCCCAAACCGACACAGGUGGUCAGGUAGAGAAUACCAAGGCGCUUGAGAGAACUCGGGUGAAGGAACUAGGCAAAAUGGUGCCGUAACUUCGGGAGAAGGCACGCUGAUAUGUAGGUGAAGUCCCUCGCGGAUGGAGCUGAAAUCAGUCGAAGAUACCAGCUGGCUGCAACUGUUUAUUAAAAACACAGCACUGUGCAAACACGAAAGUGGACGUAUACGGUGUGACGCCUGCCCGGUGCCGGAAGGUUAAUUGAUGGGGUCAGCGCAAGCGAAGCUCUUGAUCGAAGCCCCGGUAAACGGCGGCCGUAACUAUAACGGUCCUAAGGUAGCGAAAUUCCUUGUCGGGUAAGUUCCGACCUGCACGAAUGGCGUAAUGAUGGCCAGGCUGUCUCCACCCGAGACUCAGUGAAAUUGAACUCGCUGUGAAGAUGCAGUGUACCCGCGGCAAGACGGAAAGACCCCGUGAACCUUUACUAUAGCUUGACACUGAACAUUGAGCCUUGAUGUGUAGGAUAGGUGGGAGGCUUUGAAGUGUGGACGCCAGUCUGCAUGGAGCCGACCUUGAAAUACCACCCUUUAAUGUUUGAUGUUCUAACGUUGACCCGUAAUCCGGGUUGCGGACAGUGUCUGGUGGGUAGUUUGACUGGGGCGGUCUCCUCCUAAAGAGUAACGGAGGAGCACGAAGGUUGGCUAAUCCUGGUCGGACAUCAGGAGGUUAGUGCAAUGGCAUAAGCCAGCUUGACUGCGAGCGUGACGGCGCGAGCAGGUGCGAAAGCAGGUCAUAGUGAUCCGGUGGUUCUGAAUGGAAGGGCCAUCGCUCAACGGAUAAAAGGUACUCCGGGGAUAACAGGCUGAUACCGCCCAAGAGUUCAUAUCGACGGCGGUGUUUGGCACCUCGAUGUCGGCUCAUCACAUCCUGGGGCUGAAGUAGGUCCCAAGGGUAUGGCUGUUCGCCAUUUAAAGUGGUACGCGAGCUGGGUUUAGAACGUCGUGAGACAGUUCGGUCCCUAUCUGCCGUGGGCGCUGGAGAACUGAGGGGGGCUGCUCCUAGUACGAGAGGACCGGAGUGGACGCAUCACUGGUGUUCGGGUUGUCAUGCCAAUGGCACUGCCCGGUAGCUAAAUGCGGAAGAGAUAAGUGCUGAAAGCAUCUAAGCACGAAACUUGCCCCGAGAUGAGUUCUCCCUGACUCCUUGAGAGUCCUGAAGGAACGUUGAAGACGACGACGUUGAUAGGCCGGGUGUGUAAGCGCAGCGAUGCGUUGAGCUAACCGGUACUAAUGAACCGUGAGGCUUAACCUUACAACGCCGAAGCUGUU
rnacentral:rRNA from 1 species